rnacentral:rRNA from 1 species
AGUCGACGGUUAAGCAUCUUCGGAUGUGUAUAAAGUGGCGAACGGCUGAGUAACACGUGGGCAACCUGCCCUUUGCACUGGGAUAGCCUCGGGAAACCGAGGUUAAUACCGGAUACUCCAUAUUUGUCGCAUGGCGAAUAUGGGAAAGCUCCGGCGGCAAAGGAUGGGCCCGCGGCCUGUUAGCUAGUUGGUGGGGUAGUGGCCUACCAAGGCAAUGAUGGGUAGCCGGGUUGAGAGACCGACCGGCCAGAUUGGGACUGAGACACGGCCCAGACUCCUACGGGAGGCAGCAGUGGGGAAUCUUGCACAAUGGGCGAAAGCCUGAUGCAGCGACGCCGCGUGCGGGAUGAAGGCCUUCGGGUUGUAAACCGCUUUCAGCAGGGACGAGGCCGCAAGGUGACGGUACCUGCAGAAGAAGCCCCGGCUAACUACGUGCCAGCAGCCGCGGUAAUACGUAGGGGGCAAGCGUUAUCCGGAUUCAUUGGGCGUAAAGCGCGCGUAGGCGGUCUGUUAGGUCAGGAGUUAAAUCUGGGGGCUCAACCCCUAUCCGCUCCUGAUACCGGCAGGCUUGAGUCUGGUAGGGGAAGAUGGAAUUCCAAGUGUAGCGGUGAAAUGCGCAGAUAUUUGGAAGAACACCGGUGGCGAAGGCGGUCUUCUGGGCCAUGACUGACGCUGAGGCGCGAAAGCUAGGGGAGCGAACAGGAUUAGAUACCCUGGUAGUCCUAGCUGUAAACGAUGGACACUAGGUGUGGGGAGAUUAUACUUUCCGUGCCGCAGCUAACGCAUUAAGUGUCCCGCCUGGGGAGUACGGUCGCAAGACUAANACUCAAAGGAAUUGACGGGGGCCCGCACAAGCAGCGGAGCAUGUGGCUUAAUUCG